CCCUUAGAUGUUCUGGGCUGCACGCGCGCUACACUGAAGCUAUCAACACGUUUUCCCUCCCUGAGAAGGGCUGGUAACCUUUUGAAUCAGCUUCGUGGUAGGGAUCGGGGCUUGCAAUUGUUCCCCGUGAACCAGGAAUUCCUAGUAGACGCGAGUCAUAAGCUCGCAUCGAUUAAGUCCCUGCCCUUUGUACACACCGCCCGUCGCUACUACCGAUUGAACGUUUUAGUGAGGCAUUUGGACCGACGCAUCUCAGUUUAACCGCUGGUUUGUGUUGGAAAGACUUCCAAACUUGAGCGUUUAGAGGAAGUAAAAGUCGUAACA
rnacentral:rRNA from 1 species